GACGUAGGGUGCGAGCGUUGUCCGGAUUUAUUGGGCGUAAAGAGCUCGUAGGCGGCUCGUCGCGUCGACCGUGAAAACCCGCGGCUUAACUGCGGGCUUGCGGUUGAUACGGGCGGGCUAGAGUUCGGUAGGGGAGACUGGAAUUCCUGGUGUAGCGGUGAAAUGCGCAGAUAUCAGGAGGAACACCGGUGGCGAAGGCGGGUCUGUGGGCCGAUACUGACGCUGAGGAGCGAAAGCGUGGGGAGCGAACAGG
rnacentral:rRNA from 1 species